GAUGAACGCUGGCGGCGUGCCUAAUACAUGCAAGUCGAGCGAACAGACGAGGAGCUUGCUCCUCUGACGUUAGCGGCGGACGGGUGAGUAACACGUGGAUAACCUACCUAUAAGACUGGGAUAACUUCGGGAAACCGGAGCUAAUACCGGAUAAUAUAUUGAACCGCAUGGUUCAAUAGUGAAAGACGGUUUUGCUGUCACUUAUAGAUGGAUCCGCGCCGCAUUAGCUAGUUGGUAAGGUAACGGCUUACCAAGGCAACGAUGCGUAGCCGACCUGAGAGGGUGAUCGGCCACACUAGAACUGAGACACGGUCCAGACUCCUACGGGAGGCAGCAGUAGGGAAUCUUCCGCAAUGGGCGAAAGCCUGACGGAGCAACGCCGCGUGAGUGAUGAAGGUCUUCGGAUCGUAAAACUCUGUUAUUAGGGAAGAACAAAUGUGUAAGGAACUAUGCACGUCUUGACGGUACCUAAUCAGAAAGCCACGGCUAACUACGUG
rnacentral:rRNA from 1 species